UUGGAUCCACGUACGUGUGUGUUGGAUCCACGUACGUGUGUGUUGGAUCCACGUACGUGUGUGUUGGAUCCACGUACGUGUGUGUUGGAUCCACGUACGUGUGUGUUGGAUCCACGUACGUGUGUGUUGGAUCCACGUACGUGUGUGUUGGAUCCACGUACGUGUGUGUUGGAUCCACGUACGUGUGUGUUGGAUCCACGUACGUGUGUGUUGGAUCCACGUACGUGUGUGUUGGAUCCACGUACGUGUGUGUUGGAUCCACGUACGUGUGUGUUGGAUCCACGUACGUGUGUGUUGGAUGCACGUACGUGUGUGUUGGAUCCACGUACGUGUGUGUUGGAUCCACGUACGUGUGUGUUGGAUCCACGUACGUGUGUGUUGGAUCCACGUACGUGUGUGUUGGAUCCACGUACGUGUGUGUUGGAUCCACGUACGUGUGUGUUGGAUCCACGUACGUGUGUGUUGGAUCCACGUACGUGUGUGUUGGAUCCACGUACGUGUGUGUUAGAUCCACGUACGUGUGUGUUAGAUCCACGUAGGUGUGUGUUAGAUCCACGUAGGUGUGUGUUAGAUCCACGUAGGUGUGUGUGUUAGAGCCACGUAGGUGUGUGUUAGAUCCAUGUAGGUGUGUGUGUGUCAGAUCCAAGUAGGUGUGUGUUAGAGCCACAUAGGUGUGUGUGUUGGAUCCAUGUAGGUGUGUGUGUUAGAUCCAUGUAGGUGUGUGUGUUAGAUCCACGUAGGUGUGUGUGUUAGAUCCACGUAGGUGUGUGUUAGAUCCAUGUACGUGUGUGUUAGAUCCAUGUACGUGUGUUUUAGAUCCAUGUAGGUGUGUGUUAGAUUUACGUACGUGUGUGAGAUCCACGUACGUGUGUUGGAUCCACAUAGGUGUGUGUUAUCCAAGAACGUGUGUUUUUAGAUGUAAAACACGUAUUUGGAGCAAAAUCACAAGUACAAGGAUCUGAGUACACACAUCAGAUGGAUAUACAGACACACAUCAGUACACACAAAUUAGAUUACAGACUCACAGAUUGAGAUCCAUGUUUGCAAACAGUUUUGCUCCAAUAAUACUUCCAUCGUCUAAUUAGUUGGCAUGAAACGUUCUCAACUAGUUCCAACUUUACAAAGUAUGCGGUGUCUCUUUUUGCUAUCAAUCGUCACAUUGCAUCAAAUGUGCAUUUUUUUGUAAGCGUACGAUGAAUUAAAGACGGAAAUAAAAUCCUGUGGGAUGUAUGUUGUGUAAUUGUAAUAAAUGCAGACGAGUCA